rfam:Astyanax mexicanus chromosome 5, whole genome shotgun sequence.
CAUGGACUAAUGACGGUCUGUCUGGAAACCCGUCGUACGGAAAGGACAGACCUGAUGCAUUUGGCGUG